GGAAUCUUCGGCAAUGGACGAAAGUCUGACCGAGCAACGCCGCGUGAGUGAAGAAGGUUUUCGGCUCGUAAAGCUCUGUUGUUAAAGAAGAACACGUAUGAGAGUAACUGUUCAUACGUUGACGGUAUUUAACCAGAAAGUCACGGCUAACUACGUGCCAG
rnacentral:rRNA from 1 species